GUGCUCACUUGGGCAGUGCAUAUACUACAAUUGGAAUGAUAUAGAGAAGAUUAGCAUGGCCCCUAUGCAAGGGUGACAUGUAGGCUGAUGCUCUGACCUUAAGGAUU
ensembl:snRNA U6 U6 spliceosomal RNA